UUGAGAGCGGCGUACGGGUGCGGAACACGUGUGCAACCUUGCCUUUAUCUGGGGGAUAGCCUUUCGAAAGGAAGAUUAAUACCCCAUAAUAUGUUGAAUGGCAUCAUUCGACAUUGAAAACUCCGGUGGAUAGAGAUGGGCACGCGCAAGAUUAGAUAGUUGGUGAGGUAACGGCUCACCAAGUCUACGAUCUUUAGGGGGGCCUGAGAGGGUGAUCCCCCACACUGGGACUGAGACACGGCCCAGACUCCUACGGGAGGCAGCAGUGGGGAAUAUUGGACAAUGGGGGAAACCCUGAUCCAGCAAUGCCGCGUGAGUGAUGAAGGCCUUCGGGUUAUAAAGCUCUUUUGUCAGGGACGAUGAUGACGGUACCUGACGAAUAAGCUCCGGCUAACUUCGUGCCAGCAGCCGCGGUAAUACGAGGGGAGCUAGCGUUGUUCGGAAUUACUGGGCGUAAAGGGCGUGUAGCGGUACCAUAAGUCAGAUGUGAAAGCCCUAGGCUUAACCUAGGAGGUGCAUUUGAUACUGUGGAACUAGAGAUCGAGAGAGGAAAGUGGAAUUACGAGUGUAAGGUGAAAUUCGUAGAUAUUCGUAAGAACA
rnacentral:rRNA from 1 species